GAUGAAGAACGUAGCGAAAUGCGAAAAGUAAUGUGAAUUGCAGAAUUCAGUGAAUCAUCGAAUCUUUGAACGCACAUUGCGCCCGCUAGUAUUCUGGCGGGCAUGCCUGUCCGAGCGUCAUUUCAACCCAUCAAGCUUAGCGCUUGUGUUGGAGCCCUGCGGCCGCCGCAGCCUCCUAAAAUCAGUGGCGGGCUCGCUAUCACGCUGAGUGCAGUAGUAUUCUUCUCACUCCUGUGGUGUAGCGGGUAACCAGCCGUAAACCCCCCCAUCUAUAAAGGUUGACCUCGGAUCAGGUAGGAAUACCCGCUGAACUUAAGCAUAUCAAUAAGCGGAGGA
rnacentral:misc_RNA from 1 species